GACGAACGCUGGCGGCGUGCCUAAUACAUGCAAGUAGAACGCUGAAGGAGGAGCUUGCUUCUCUGGAUGAGUUGCGAGCGGGUGAGUAACGCGUAGGUAACCUGCCUGGUAGCGGGGGAUAACUAUUGGAAACGAUAGCUAAUACCGCAUAAUAGUAGAUGUUGCAUGACAUUUGCUUAAAAGGUGCAAUUGCAUCACUACCAGAUGGACCUGCGUUGUAUUAGCUAGUUGGUGGGGUAACGGCUCACCAAGGCGACGAUACAUAGCCGACCUGAGAGGGUGAUCGGCCACACUGGGACUGAGACACGGCCCAGACUCCUACGGGAGGCAGCAGUAGGGAAUCUUCGGCAAUGGACGGAAGUCUGACCGAGCAACGCCGCGUGAGUGAAGAAGGUUUUCGGAUCGUAAAGCUCUGUUGUAAGAGAAGAACGAGUGUGAGAGUGGAAAGUUCACACUGUGACGGUAUCUUACCAGAAAGGGACGGCUAACUACGUG
rnacentral:rRNA from 1 species